ACGGAGGGUGCGAGCGUUAUUCGGAAUUACUGGGCGUAAAGCGCGUGCAGGCGGGGAGGCAAGUCUGAUGUGAAAGCCCUGGGCUUAACCCGGGAAGUGCAUUGGAAACUGUCUUUCUUGAGUACUGGAGAAGAAGGCGGAAUUUCCGGUGUAGAGGUGAAAUGCGUAGAGAUCGGGAGGAACACCGGUGGCGAAGGCAGCCUUCUGGACGGUUACUGACGCUGAUGCGCGAAAGCGUGGGGAGCAAACAG
rnacentral:rRNA from 1 species